rnacentral:rRNA from 1 species
CAAACACACCCCCGUGCACGUUGAAGGCCCGGCUCGUUGAGUGGGUGGGCUGACCGCCCAGGAUUCGUAGCCUCGCUUUCUUACACAAACUUCAGAAUGUACAUCAGAAUGGUCUUACGCGUGUAACGCAUCGUAAUAUAACUUUCAGCAACGGAUCUCUUGGCUCUCGCAUCGAUGAAGAACGCAGCGAAAUGCCGAUAAGUAAUGUGAAUUGCAGAAUUCAGUGAAUCAUCGAAUCUUUGAACGCACCUUGCGCUCCUUGGCAUUCCGAGGAGCAUGCCUGUUUGAGUGUCAUGAAACUCUCAACCCCUGCCAUCUUUGCGGAUGAGCGUCGGUUGGAUUUUGGAGGUUGCCGGACUCGUUCGGCUCCUCUUGAAAGCAUAGUAAAGCUUGGACCUGACCGACCGGGUGGACGUGAUAGAAAGUCACCGUCGACCGAAGGGUCCGUCGCUGAACGGUUCAAGCUUUGUUUGUCGUCUUCGGACAGAACAUCUCUGACCUC